UAAGGUGUUCUUAAACCAAGAGGAUGUAAUUGAAGAACAAAUUAAAUAGCCAGUAGAUAUUUUCCUGUAACUAAAAAUUAACUUCUUAUUUCCAGGUACAUAAUUUAAGGUUGAAGAGCAUUUUCCAGCUACCUGUCUUGUGCAUCACUGAAAAUAAAAGGUUGAAACAGCUUUCCAGUGACUGUCACACACUUCAGCUUGGCCAAGGUGUCCUGACGCGUAAGGAGAGACGAGUAGCAGGAAUGGGGGAAAAACAAGCCCGGGGAUCUGAAGCCUCAGCCAUGACUGAAGAACUCAACAUAAAGCCACUGACUGAAGGCAAAAGAGACUCAGACAAAGAAUUAAAUGUAU